CCUACGGGAGGCAGCAGUGAGGAAUAUUGGUCAAUGGGCGCGAGCCUGAACCAGCCAAGUCGCGUGAGGGAAGACGGUCCUAUGGAUUGUAAACCUCUUUUGUCGGGGAGCAAAAGACGCCACGCGUGGCGUUCCGAGAGUACCCGAAGAAAAAGCAUCGGCUAACUCCGUGCCAGCAGCCGCGGUAAUACGGAGGAUGCGAGCGUUAUCCGGAUUUAAUGGGUUUAAAGGGUGCGCAGGCGGAGGAUCAAGUCAGCGGUAAAAUUGAGAGGCUCAACCUCGUCGAGCCGUUGAAACUGGUUUUGGUGGGUGAGUGCAGAGUAGGCGGAAUGCGUGGUGUAGCGGUGAAAUGCAUAGAUAACACGCAGAACUCCGAUUGCGAAGGCAGCAUACCGGCGCUCAACUGACGCUCAUGCACGAAAGUGUGGGUAUCGAACAGGAUUAGAUACCCGGGUAGUC
rnacentral:rRNA from 1 species